UUGUAUAUAUUAAGUGAAAAGGUAGUUUAAUUUAAUUUGUUAUAGGGGAAACUUCAUUCUUUUGUGGGAAGGAAAGAGCAAUUGGAACGUGUGAUUAAGAUAAUUUGUAGAUUAACGAAGAACAACCCUUGUCUUGUUGGAGAACCUGGAGUUGGCAAAACAGCAAUCAUAGAGGGCCUUGCUCACAGGAUUUUGAGUGGCUCUGUUCCUCAAAAUCUCAGAGGAAAGAAGGUAAUCAAAUUGGACGUUGCUAAUCUUUUGUAUGUUAUACAAAGUCAAGGAGAUUUCGAGAAUAUCAUUAAGCGUAUAAUUAAGGAAGUUGGGCAAAGUGGGGAUGUGCUACUUUUUGUGAAAGAGGUUCAAAACAUUUUUGAAACAUCAUCUUCGGCCCAAAAUUUUGCAUACCAUUUGGGACAUGCCCUUGAAAGAGGUGUUAUUCAGGCAUCAAUUCUUCUGCGGAGGCAAAUGUAAGCCAAGAACCUGAAGCACAUAGCCAUGGCUAGCACAACCCAAACUUCUUUCAAGCCACCUUUCAAGUUAACAGUGCUAAAUGUUGG